AAGGAAGUAGAAAGUGUUUAGGGAAAUAAAAAUUUUAGUUUUUAUGAAGAGGUGGAAUUCGAACAUAAGAAUUUAUUUUAGUAUUUUUAUUUUAUUUGAUGCUUCGAAAGUUGUUGACAAGACCGGGAUUAGAUACCCCGUUAUUUUUUUUGUAAAUAUUGGUUGCUUUGAUUAGCUUACCUGAGUAUUACGGGUUAAUAAAAUUUAUGUGUUGUAAUAUCAUAUUGAUUUAAUUAGUAACUUAAAACUCAAAAAACUUGGCGGUGCUUUAUUUCCUGCCAGGGGAACCUGUCCUGUAAUCGAUAGUCCACGAUAUAACUUACUUUUUCUUGAAAGAUUACUAUAAAGUUGUUUCAGUUUGUAUACCGUCGUCGUCAGAUUACCUUUAAAAGUUAAGGAGUUGUCGGGUAAAGUUAAUAAAUUUUUUAUAUAAGUAUAUUGUGUAAAAUUUUGUUUCUUUAGAUGUCAGAUCAAGGUGCAGCUUAUGAAGAAGUAGAGAUGGGUUACAAUACAUAUUUUGUAUUAUGGAUACUAGUUUGUAAUAACUGGAUGAAAGUGGACUUGGAAGUAAUUUAUUUUAUAUAUGUAAAUUAGAAAGUGCAAGUGAAGUAUGGUACUAAAGCGCGU
rnacentral:rRNA from 1 species